AGGGCCGGCUCCAGGCACCAGGCAACCAAGCACAUGCUUGGGGCAGCACCUGGUUUCAUAACAUUGGAAGUUCAGCUAAGCAGCCAGAGUCCAUGGAGGCCACCAUCUCUCCUCAAAAAAACUUCUACAUCUUCACCAGAAAUUAAAAGGAGGCCCUGUGACCUGCAAAUCAGGCAUCCUCUCUCCCAGUUCUUCAGAGAAUCAUAGCAGGUGUGUCAUGGUCAUUGCUUUAGGUGAUGUAAAACGAAGAGUUACAACCAGUUUUCUCAUUAGGUAAGUGUAGAUGAGUUACACUCUAGGAUACACAUUGUUGACAGAUGUGAUAUCAUAGCUGAUGAACUUCAGUGCUGCUAGCAGAAUAAAGAGACGACAUCUGUCACAUUUACAUCUGGAAAUGUUGUAUGUACUAUUGUUAUUCUCAGGCCUGCAUAAAAGACCCUCUAACAAACAGGCAAGCAGAAAAUCUUUAAAAUUGUUAAAGAAAUUUUUUCAAUGAAACGAAUUCAGGACAUAUUCUUUAAAAUUUGCUGUUUAAGGCCUGAUUCGGCAAACACUUAUACACAGGCAUAAUUUUUCUCGUAUGAGUAGUCUAUUGAUUUCAUGGGAAUAAAUGUUUGCAGCGGUGUAUCACAGGUGAAUGGGACCUUAUGCAUGAAAAUGUCUGCUUUAAAGCACUUUAGAUGAGAUAUAGUGGCCAAGUGCAGAGAAGAUAAAAGGAUUAAACAUUUCUAUGGAAAUUGAACAGUUACAGUAGAUUGAACAGAAAUUAUGUGGGUUGCAAACCCUCUUGUUUCAUACCAAACCCUGAUGGGGGUUAGGGCAUGAGCAGUGAUAGAGACUGGUCUCUGGGCAGGCUAUGCCAUAACUGUCUGAUGCAGGAUUUCUGGCACAUUCCUCUGAAGCAUCAGAUGCUAGCCAUUGUCAGAGACAGGAUACUGGACUAGAAAGGCCACUGCUCUGAUCUGGUACGGCAAUGCCAGUGCUUCCCUAAUAGUGCCUUUAGUUGGAAGGGAAGAUGAGUUACAUUCUCCCU